rnacentral:rRNA from 1 species
CGGGACGGGUGAGUAAUGCUUGGGAAUCUGGCUUAUGGAGGGGGAUAACGACGGGAAACUGUCGCUAAUACCGCGUAGAGUCGAGAGACGAAAGUGCGGGACCGCAAGGCCGCAUGCCAUGAGAUGAGCCCAAGUGGGAUUAGGUAGUUGGUGGGGUAAAGGCCUACCAAGCCGACGAUCUCUAGCUGGUCUGAGAGGAUGACCAGCCACACCAGGACUGAGACACGGCCCGG